CAGGCAGUGUAGUAGAUGCCCCGGGCGAGGCCCGGCCUCGCAAAGCCCCACGCGCCGGCUUAUGAUUGGCUGCGCCGCAGCCCUUCCUUCUUUCUCAGCUGCCAGGAGUGGAGGCUGUCGCGAUGAAUGACACAGUGACCAUCAGAACCAGGAAGUUUAUGACGAACAGACUGCUUCAGCGUAAGCAGAUGGUUAUUGAUGUUCUUCAUCCUGGGAAGGCUACUGUCCCCAAAACAGAAAUCAGGGAGAAGCUGGCAAAAAUGUAUAAGACGACCCCAGAUGUAAUAUUUGUCUUCGGCUUCAGAACGCAUUUUGGUGGCGGCAAGACAACAGGCUUUGGCAUGAUCUAUGAUUCCCUGGACUAUGCAAAGAAGAAUGAACCAAAACACAGACUGGCCAGGCAUGGCUUGUAUGAAAAGAAGAAGACUUCCAGGAAACAGCGAAAGGAGCGUAAAAACAGAAUGAAGAAAGUCAGGGGCACAGCGAAAGCGAAUGUUGGUGCUGGCAAGAAGAAAUGAAGUGUCUAGCAGGAAUGUGUAUAUUAGACUUUCAUGUUUCCUAUAGCUGCGCUGGUGUAGACUCCAACAGUGAGCUGAUAAAUAGAUCUUGCAGAGAGACUAAAUUAUUCUGGGAAGACCUGGGUGGAGAUGGUGCUCAUCUGGCUCUAACCUUUCUAAUAAACUACAUAAAAAAAUGAA